UACAGAGGUCUCAAGCGUUAUCCGGAUUCACUGGGGUUAAAGGGUGCGUAGGUGGGUCUGUAAGUCAGUGGUGAAAUCUCCGUGCUUAACAUGGAAACUGCCAUUGAUACUAUAGGUCUUGAAUUUUCUGGAGGUCAGCGGAAUAUGUCAUGUAGCGGUGAAAUGCUUAGAUAUGACAUAGAACACCAAUUGCGAAGGCAGCUGGCUACAGGGAUAUUGACACUGAGGCACGAAAGCGUGGGGAUCAAACAGG
rnacentral:rRNA from 1 species